rnacentral:rRNA from 1 species
UACGGAGGGUGCGAGCGUUGUCCGGAAUCACUGGGCGUAAAGGGCGCGUAGGUGGCGCGGGCAGUCAACGGUGAAAGUUCGGGGCUCAACCCCGAAUCGGCCGUCGAUACUCCCGGGCUUGAGCACUGUAGAGGCUAAUGGAAUUCCGGGUGUAGCGGUGGAAUGCGUAGAGAUCCGGAAGAACACCGGUGGCGAAGGCGGUUAGC